rnacentral:rRNA from 1 species
UACGUAGGGUGCGAGCGUUAAUCGGAAUUACUGGGCGUAAAGCGUGCGCAGGCGGUUUUGUAAGUCAGAUGUGAAAGCCCCGGGCUCAACCUGGGAAUGGCAUUUGGGACUGCAAGGCUGGAGUAUGGCAGAGGAGACUAGAAUUCCUGGUGUAGCAGUGAAAUGCGUAGAUAUGAGGAGGAAUACCGAUGGCGAAGGCAGGUCUCUGGGCCAAUACUGACGCUCAUGCACGAAAGCGUGGGGAGCAAACAGG